CUGAUGGCGGCCGUGCAGCUGGUGGCGUCCGGAGGGGGCCUCCAGACACCCGGGGGGUCCCUCACCCUCCGCUGCAAGGCCUCCGGCUUCACCUUCAGCAGCUUCAGCAUGGGAUGGAUGCGACAGGCCCCCGGGAAGGGGCUCGAGUACGUCGCGAGUAUUAACAGCGAUGGUAGUUACACAAACUACGCGCCGUCGGUCAAGGGGCGCUUCACCAUCUCCAGGGACAACUCCCAGAGCACGCUCACGCUGCAGAUGAACAGCCUCCGGGACGACGACACGGCCACCUACUACUGCGCGAAAUGUGCUUACGGUGGUUGUGGUGCUGGUUAUGGUGGUGGCACCAGCCCCGGCACCGUGUCCCAACUUCCCUGUGUUGGGUCCCCUCAUCGACCAAUUUUGCCCCAGUCGACCAUUUUUGCCCCAAAUCUCAACCAUUAUCAUCAAACCCUGACCGAUUUCUCACCAGACCUCCAUGGUUUCACUCAACUCUUGACCGUUUGCCACAAACCUUGA